UACGUAGGGUGCAAGCGUUAUCCGGAAUUAUUUGGGCGUAAAGAGCUCGUAGGCGGUUUGUCGCGUCUGCUGUGAAAACUGGAGGCUCAACCUCCAGCCUGCAGUGGGUACGGGCAGACUAGAGUGCGGUAGGGGAGAUUGGAAUUCCUGGUGUAGCGGUGGAAUGCGCAGAUAUCAGGAGGAACACCGAUGGCGAAGGCAGAUCUCUGGGCCGUAACUGACGCUGAGGAGCGAAAGCAUGGGGAGCGAACAGG
rnacentral:rRNA from 1 species